rnacentral:rRNA from 1 species
AUUGAACGCUGGCGGCAUGCCUAACACAUGCAAGUCGAACGGUAGCAGGGCUCAAUUUCGGUUGAGCUGCUGACGAGUGGCGAACGGGUGAGUAACGCGUAGGAAUCUAGCCAACGGCGUGGGAUAACCCGUGGAAACGCGGGCUAAUACCGCAUAAUCUCUACGGAGCAAAGGGUGGGACCGAAAGGCCACGCACCGUUGGAUGAGCCUGCGUUGGAUUAGCUAGUUGGUGAGGUAAAGGCUCACCAAGGCAACGAUCCAUAGCUGGUCUGAGAGGAUGAACAGCCACACUGGGACUGAGACACGGCCCAGACUCCUACGGGAGGCAGCAGUGGGGAAUAUUGGACAAUGGGCGCAAGCCUGAUCCAGCAAUGCCGCGUGUGUGAAGAAGGCCUGCGGGUUGUAAAGCACUUUCAGUGGGGAGGAAGGCAAGGUAUUGAAUAGAUACGUUGUUUGACGCUACCCACAAAAGCAGCACCGGCUAACUCUGUG